rnacentral:rRNA from 1 species
UACGUAGGUGGCAAGCGUUGUCCGGAUUUACUGGGCGUAAAGGGCGUGCAGGCGGUCUGUUAAGUGCAGGGUGAAAGCUCCCGGCUCAACUGGGAGAGGUCCUUGCAUACUGGCGGACUUGAGGGGGGUAGAGGAAAGUGGAAUUCCCGGUGUAGUGGUGAUAUGCGUAGAUAUCGUGAGGAACACCAGAGGCGAAGGCGGUUACCUGGACAGUUACUGACGCUCAGGCACGAAAGCGUGGGGAGCAAAAGGG